CUAAUAAAGGCGUUAGGGUACUCCGUCUUGCACUCUUGCACUUCCUUCAACACUUGAGCAGAGUCAGUGCAUCCAAACAAAGGAAGCUUCCACAUUGUCCAAUAACGGCCAUCGUAGUAUCCAGGUGUGCUUCCAUGCUCACGGUACACAAAUCCGUGCUAUAUAGACAUACCAUUCAAAAUCAUGAUUCACAUGGUAUAAAAUGGAUGUUUAGAUACAAGUAAACAAAAUUUUGUUUUUAUUACCUCCAACUCAAAUUCAACACAAGGAAUCCACUUGUUGCGGAGAAGGUAGUCAACUUCUUUGGCCAAUUCAACGUCAGUAAGGUCAGGAAGAUAAGAGAGAGUCUCAAACUUCUUCUUUCCAACUGGUGGCCACACCUAUAAAUCCCAUUUGCAGUUAAUAAAUAGGAAUUCCCUUUUGUAUAUACACAUUUUUCAAUCCGGUACGUUAUUAUAUACUAUUGUUCACUCGGAUUUUCACAUGUACCAGUUCCACAUAAUAAAGGACGGGCCUACAACUCUAGUGAUAUUUACCUUCAUGCAGCUAACUCUUCCUCCGUUGUUUGCAAUGGAAGUAAUAUCAGUGUUGCUUUUGCGGGUGACUGGGAAUGCAGCGGAUGACUUCAAGCCGGUGAAUGGAGCAACCAUGGUGGCUUGAGCCGGUGAGGUAGCCACAGCGGCGGAGGAGAGCAUAGAGGAAGCCAUUAUUACUUCUUUUUCUCUUUUCUAUUACUUGUUUCUCUAUUGCUUUGGUCAUCUAUAUAUAGUGAGGCCGGCAUGAGGCAUAAAGCCCUUAGAUCAAAGAGUGCGGGAUUCAUGUCUGAUGAUAACGUCGUUACCUGCCACAGGAUUAAGGAAAGGUGUUGUCUUGGGAGUCUGCAAUACCUUUUUUCACCAGACCAGACAUUGCCUUCCCGGUAAAUCGUCUAGCUCAAUUUCUGCAGCGACCUACAGACCUUCACUGGCAAGCAGUCAAGCGAAUUCUUCGCUAUCUGGCUGGUACGUCUGCUCAUGGGAUUCUCAUUCGUCCUGAUACACCAUUGAAGCUCCACGCAUACUCCGAUGCCGACUGGGCAGGCGAUGCUGACGAUUAUUGCUCCACAAACGCCUAUAUCGUGUACCUUGGGAGCAAUCCAAUUUCUUGGAGCUCAAAGAAGCAAACGGGAGUGGCUCGCUCGUCUACGGAAGCCGAAUACAGGGCCGUCGCCAAUGCAGCAGCGUAACUACUCUGGGUAUGUUCGCUUUUCACUGGGCUGCGUAUACCGUUACCAGAGAUGCCAGUGAUAUACUGUGAUAAUGUUGGUGCCACCUACCUUGCUGCCAAUCCUGUAUUUCACUCGAAGAUGAAGCAUAUAGCCCUUGAUUUUCACUUUAUCCGGCACCAUGUGCAAUCUGGAGCGCUACGAGUCUCCCACCUCUCGACUAAGGACCAGUUGGCUGAUGCUCUCACUAAACCACUUCCUCGACCGCGCUUCCAAGAACUUUUGUGCAAGAUUGGAAUCACUCAUGUUACUCCAUCUUGAGGGGGUGUAUAGGAGAUAUAUGUCAUUAGGGUCAUAACUGUAAUUAGUCAAUACCUAAUCACUUAUGUACUCUGUAUAAAUACUGUACUUGUACAUAUUAAUAAGAUAUUCAACCUCCAUUUAUACAUCUAUCAUCUUUCUAUUUUUCUCUUUAUUAUCUCCAAUAUCCAAGUCUAUACUUUUCGGAAAUCUUCAUUUUCCCCUUUUUUUUUCCCUUAUUCCUCUCAAAGCAAGUAAACCUUCAUUGAUUUGGGCUUUCAUUUCAAAAUGUUUUAUGAUUUAGGUCUUUUAAGUAUUUCCUGAAAAUGUCGUCGUUUCACUCCACGGUUAUUUUGGUGUCGUUGGAUUACGAAAUGAUGAAAAUAAUUUUUUUGUCGAAAAACUAUUUGUUGUUUACGUUUAACCAUUUUUAUUCAACCUUUUGGCUAGUUUUACGUAAUUUUUUUCUCAUUGUUUGUAAUAUUUUUUACUGGCAACUUUGUUACGAAGAGCGUUAAAGACACGAAUCAGGAGAAGACACUAUGAAUGGAGAAGUGUGUGACGAUUCUAGGGAGAGUGGGCGACGACUCUACAGGAGAGUGGGCGAUGACUCGAAAUGGGUGAGGAGUAAAGAGGGCGACACUCUACGGGAGAGUGGACGAUGACUCAUUGCUCGUUGUUAAAUUAUUUAAAAGUGUCUGUCUAACUAAAACGUUUUUUAUAUAAUUAAUUAAUUAUUCAAUACAUUUAAAAAAAACUUGUUUCUCAUUUUGUAAAUUUUAAAACUUUUUUAGAUAAUGUUUUGUUAAAAUUGAUUUUAGAAAAAUUUUAAAUAGUUUUUGGAUUAUUUUUUCUGUUAACAAAGUUUAUUUUUAAUUUUAUAUGGCAGGAAAUGCAGGAAACAUUCCCAAGGCGCUCGACAACAACGUCCCACCCAAGUUGGUGUGAAUACUGUAUCAGCGUCUGGAUUUCUUGUAUCUUCUCCCGCACCAAAUUUUCAAACCUUGGUCUCUUGGGAAGUGCCAAUUACCAUGAGCGUCUCGGAGUUAGUUCAACAACCUAGACGAAAACUUCUGACGAGACUCCAUCCUCAUGAGCGGACGGUGCGAUGUGGUAAAUUUUUCUUUAUUUAAACUACACAUUCCUUUAAUUCUUUUUCUUAGGUUCAAUUACUCAAGCAACUGAAUUAGCGAAAGUAUUUUGAAGAUGAUGUAUAUAAUGCUGAAACACGCUUAUCUGACAUACAUGGACAAGACAAGGGAUGAUCGAUGUUAAUUCUUCUAAUUGUUUGAUUCAUGAUUAUUGACUCUUAACAGUUUUUAACUAAUAUUAUUUUUAUUUCUAUUUUAAUAAGAGUUCACUUGGAAACUGUAGCCCAUGACUCGAUCAGGUGGAAAAUGCAUUCCACCAUCAUGCACAAAAAGCAUGACAACUAUCAAAUCAAUGAGUAGAAACAGAAGCGGGUUGUCGGCAAGACGCCAAAGUCAAUCAACCCAAUUGUUUGGGAGGGAUUGAAGGAGUAUUUGGCAUUAACGAAUGCACAUGCUACUUUCUAGACCAACUCAGGUAACCGGCGUAGCGACCAUCGCUUGGUCAGGUUAGGUUGUGGAGCACAAUCCUUUUUUUUUAUCCAUGUCAGCUUUGUAUACUGCUGACCUCGAACUUGUUCAAGAGCUCAAGAAGAAAAUGUACGAAUGCGUUGGAGAAGAAAAAUGAAGCAAAUACGGCUCAUAAUGUGGGACACGCCCGUCAAAUCAUAGAGGACAACAAAUUCAUGCAAGCGAUGCGUCGUUGCAAGUUUGGCGACUUUCGGUUUUUUUUUUCAAACUCUUAAAUAUUGGUUUCUUGUUAAAAAUAUUAAAGUAUUUGGUUUAAUAUUUUCGAAUUAUAAAUAUUAAAUAUUUGAAUUUUAAAAAUUAUGUCGGGAAUUCGUUGGGAUAUUCAUCAGGAAUAAUUUCUGACAAACGUGUGAUCUCGUCGGGAGAAUUCUCGACGACCAAGAUCGUCGGAAGAAUUCUCGACGAAAUUUUUGGUUAUGAAAAAAAUUCCCAACGAACCUUUGGUCAUCAGAAAUAAUUAUUACUGAUAACUUAUCGAGAAAAACUACUCACGAGUCACGACCAAGUCGCGUUGGGAAUUCUUCUGACAGAAUUCCAACAACAUUUUCCAUGACCGAUUUUGUCGAAAAUUCUUUUGGAAAGUAGUUGUGGGGAAUUCAUUGCCGUCUUUUUAAAAAUCUCCUAAGAAUUUUUUGUCAAAUGAAAUAAAACCGAUAAAAAGUGGUUAUCGGAAAUCCGUGGAGAAAGAUAAUUCCCAAUGACUUUCCGACGAAUAUAGUCAUCGAGAAUAACUUGUUUUCUUGCAGUGUAUCUUCUGUAUGGCAUCCUCCACAGAUAUGACUAUCACAGAUUUUAAGUGGACCAUCCUUUUCUUCCAGGAUUAACUACGUGUAAGUGAGAUGACAUGCAUGAACUUGAGAAAAAGUACUUUGAUAUUAUUGAAAAAUUAUAUUUUUUUGGUAAGAUGCUAAGUAAAAUUAUAAAAUUUAGAAAACAAUUCCUGUAAAACAAUUAAAAAUAAGAAUAUAGAUCCAUAUGUAUGUGUUAACUAAUAGCGGGGAUAUAUUUAUAUAAUGUAUCUUAUUUCCGAUAACAAUUUACGAAUAAUAUGUAUUAAAGGAUCUCAUACCACGUAAGUAGUGUGAAACAUCAAAUGAUGACUACCUUAUGAAAUGAUUAAAUAAAUCUAUAGUAAAAAAAAAUCUACACAAACCGUAUAGGAUACAAAAUGAUACAUUGGUGCUCUUAUAUUUGAAUAUCUGAUGAACUAAUUAACUUAAGAUGAAAUCUGUGUUUUGUAGGUAAAAUUGUUUCUUGUUCUAUAAAGCAAUUACCACUAACAUUAUCGAAACCUUUUUGUUAAGUUAUGUAGUCUGUUUUCUUAUAGGGAUAAAAAAUUAAAACCUAAUUGCCAUAAAAAUAACCAAGAAGAAGCAACGAUAUAGAAAUUACAUAUAUAUCCAUAAAUCAGACAUUUGACAAUCCGAUAGAAAAUGUCUCAGACAGAAAUCCAAAGAGGAUAAAAACAGGCAAUUGGAAGUGAAAUGAGUAUAGAUUAUUAUAUGAUUGUUUUAGAAAGGAAAUUAAGCACCGGUGAAGCUUGGUGGCUUGUAGGCGAUGAAACUGAUGCACUGGACCUGACGGUUGUUGUCGAAUCCAAUGAUUCUAAUAAAGGCGUUAGGGUACUCCGUCUUGCACUCUUGCACUUCCUUCAACACUUGAGCAGAGUCAGUGCAUCCAAACAAAGGAAGCUUCCACAUUGUCCAAUAACGGCCAUCGUAGUAUCCAGGUGUGCUUCCAUGCUCACGGUACACAAAUCCGUGCUAUAUAGACAUACCAUUCAAAAUCAUGAUUCACAUGGUAUAAAAUGGAUGUUUAGAUACAAGUAAACAAAAUUUUGUUUUUAUUAC
rnacentral:lncRNA from 1 species